CACAGCAAGCAGGGAAAAAACCGAGGGCGAGAAAUGAGGGUGCUGGCAUCAGUGGCUGAGGGCAAACAGCGAUGCCUCACCUCCCCCAGCGGGUUGCUGAGGGGAUUAAUUAGCGUUUAUGGCAGAACAGGGCCAGAUGGACAGGGUCCUAAUUCCCAUCAAGAAUCAUUACCUGCCGCAUGGUGGAUGAGGCACCUCCAACGAUGUGCUGUGAGCCCUGGAAAACGUGGCAGCACCAGGAGGUCAGCACCCCACAGUGUCCCUGGACAGCCCAUUCCAGGCCUGGAGCACCACUUCCCUGAAACAGCUUUUCUUACAUUUAAAGAGAAUUUCUUGCA